GAUAAAAAGAAACACUAAGGAUUUUUUUGCCCAUGUCGGAGUCAAAUUGAGGAUAGUAUUGGAAUAAGUUUUGCGUAUCUCCUUGCAAGAUAUGGAUUUUAAAACCCAAGGAUGAUGGAUGGAAAAAUAAAGAGUAUUUUUAUAAAGUUAAUGUUAUGCUGCUGGUUUGAAGUAGGAUCACGUAUAAAAUGAAGGGAGUGUCUGAAAUUCGUAAAGAAAGAGCCCGUCGUCAAUCAGUAUCAAAACAGUUUCUGAUGUGAUUGUGUAAAGUGGUUAUUAAAAAUACUUUUUGCGUUAUUAAGAACAUAGUUGUCAAGAGCACUGUCACUAUGAAGUAGCCAAUUUUUCAACAAAUGUCUGGGGUUGUUAUACUAUAAAACUUCUUGCAGUUAACAUUUUAAUAGCUCUGUAAGGAACAUAUCUAAUGACCAAGAAAUCAGGAAUGUGGCGAUCCCAACUGCUUUACUUAUCUUUGAAGCUCUGCCAAAGCUCCAAGACGUGACCUUUUACCAGGAAAGUUUUGGAAUCACAAUAGAGCUCCUUAAUUUUAUCUAAAAGAUUAAGGCGUAGUGAUAUACAUAAGUUUUUUCGGUUUCUAGUUUUGACAAAAUUAAUACCUCAUUUAUUUGAACAGCUCCCUCAGUAGGGAUAUUUGAAUGUUGAUACCCAGGAGCAAAUACAAAGUGGAGGAGGACUUGAAAUGUGGAAAUUGCUUAAAGAGUUAACUCUUUGAACGUGAGGACCACUCUUCUUGGAUUGCCAGGAGUUAUCGGAGAUAUGAGAUAUACUCCAAUUAAUUCAUUAUCAUACUAUAGCUGUUUGGAGGAACG
rnacentral:lncRNA from 1 species